GCUUAGCCUUAAACUUAGAUGUUUAUAUUACAAGAAACAUCCGCCAGGGUACUACAAGCGCUAGCUUAAAACCCAAAGGACUUGGCGGUGUCUCAGACCCCCCUAGAGGAGCCUGUCCUAGAACCGAUAAUCCACGUUAAACCUCACCACCCCUUGUUUCCCCCGCCUAUAUACCGCCGUCGCAAGCUUACCCUGCGAAGGGUUAACAGUAAGCACAAUGGGUAAACCCCAGAACGUCAGGUCGAGGUGUAGCUUAUGGGGUGGGAAGAGAUGGGCUACAUUUUCUGGACCAGAAUAUACGAAUAGCACUAUGAAACUAGUGACCUUGAAGGUGGAUUUAGAAGUAAAAAUCAAGCAGAGAGUCAUUUUGAACCAGGCUCUGAGACGCGU
rnacentral:rRNA from 1 species